rnacentral:rRNA from 1 species
CCUACGGGUGGCUGCAGUGAGGAAUAUUCGUCAAUGGGCGCGAGCCUGAACCAGCCAAGUAGCGUGAAGGAUGACUGCCCUCCGGGUUGUCAACUUCUUUUAUAAAGGAAUACAGUGACACACGGGUGCCUUUUUGUAUGUACUUUAUGAAUAAGGAUCGGCUAACUCCGUGCCAGCAGCCGCGGUAAUACGGAAGAUCCGAGCGUUACCCGGUUUUAUUGGGUUUAAAGGGAGCGGUGAGGGGGUGUUAAGUCAGUUGUGAAAGUUUGGGGGUCAAACGUAAGAUGGCAAUUGAUACUGGCAGCCUUGAGUAAAGUAGAGGUAGGCGGAAUUCGUGGUGUAGCGGUGAAAUGCGUAGAUA